rnacentral:lncRNA from 1 species
CGGCCACUGAAAUCAAGCGGUCCUCUCCGCCAGCAGAGGGCACUCUCGCUCCAUCAUACGACAUGCCCAUCUCCAUCGCAGGCAUCCCGGACAGCAUCUUCCAGCGGAUCCGUGCCCAAUGCGCCCCUCCAGUCCUGUUCCUGUUUGCACACUAUCUGAACUCCGCUGAGGCAGCGACCGACUUACCAAGGAGCAUCACUUCCGGGAAGCCGCCCUGCUCAUCGCUCGGAAGCCUGCACUGCGCGAGGCCCUGGGUUUCAUUGAACCCCCGUCAGAGCCUGCGCCCGUUCCAGCGUCUAAGCCUGCACCACUGGCCCCAGCGUCUAAGCCUGCACCACUGGCCCCAGCGUCUAAGCCUGCACCACUGGCCCCAGCGUCUAAGCCUGCACCACUGGCCCCAGCGUCUAAGCCUGCACCACUGGCCCCAGCGUCUCUGGCUGCAGCGUCUCCUGCGUCUCUGGCUGCAGCGUCUCCUGCGUCUCUGGCUGCAGCAACUCCUGCCCUAGCCUCACCUCAGCCAUGCCAAGCUCCAGCUCCAGCUCACGCCUCACCUCAGCCAUGCCAAGCUCCAGCUCCAGCUCACGCCUCACCUCAGCCAUGCCAAGCUCAAGCUCCAGCUCAAGCCUCAGCUCAGCCACGUCAGGCUCAAGCCUCAGCUCAGCCACGUCAAGCUCAAGCCUCAGCUCAGCCACGUCAAGCUCAGGCCUCAACUCAGCCACGUCAGGCUCAGGCCUCAGCUCAGUCACGUCAAGUUCAAGCCCCAGCUCCAGCUCAAGCUCAAGCCUCGGCUCCGCCACGCCAAGCUCAAGCUCCAUCUUUACGCCAGCUAGCGGACACCCCUGGCCAGUCACACCAGGCCUCAGUUCCUGUUCCUGUCGGCCAUAUUGAGGCCGUCCAUGUUCCUGUUCCUGUCGGCCAUAUUGAGGCCGUCCCUGUUCCUGUCGGCCAUAUUGAGGCCGUCCCUGUUCCUGUUCCUGUCGGCCAUAUUGAGGCCGUUCCUGUUCCUGUCGGCCAUAUUGAGGCCGUUCCUGUUCCUGUCGGCCAUAUUGAGGCCGUUCCUGUUCCUGUUCCUGACGGCCAUAUUGGGGCCGUUCCUGUUCCUGUCGGCCAUAUUGGGGCCGUUCCUGUUCCUGUCGGCCAUAUUGGGGCCGUUCCUGUUCCUGUCGGCCAUAUUGGGGCCGUUCCUGUUCCUGUCGGCCAUAUUGAGGCCGUUCCUGUUCCUGUUCCUGUCGGCCAUAUUGAGGCCGUUCCUGUUCCUGUUCCUGUCGGCCAAGUAGCGGCCGUUCCUGUUCCUGUUCCUGUCGGCCAAGUAGCGGCCGUUCCUGUUCCUGUUCCUGUCGGCCAUAUUGAGGCCGUUCCUGUCGGCCAAGUAGAGGCCGUUCCAGUCCCUGUUCCUGUCGGCCCUGUAGCUGCCGUUCCUGCCGGCCAAGUAGAGGCCGUUCCAGUCCCUGUUCCUGUCGGCCCUGUAGCUGCCG